rnacentral:rRNA from 1 species
CAGUAGCCGCGGGAACACGAAGGGUGCAAGCGUUAAUCGGAAUUACUGGGCGUAAAGCGUGCGCAGGCGGUUUGUUAAGACAGGCGUGAAAUCCCCGGGCUCAACCUGGGAAUGGCGCUUGUGACUGCAAAGCUAGAGUGCGGCAGAGGGGGAUGGAAUUCCGCGUGUAGCAGUGAAAUGCGUAGAUAUGCGGAGGAACACCGAUGGCGAAGGCAAUCCCCUGGGCCUGCACUGACGCUCAUGCACGAAAGCGUGGGGAGCAAACAGGAUUAGAUACCCCAGUAGUCCCUGUCUCUUAUAC